rnacentral:rRNA from 1 species
ACUCCUACGGGAGGCAGCAGUGGGGAAUAUUGCACAAUGGGCGCAAGCCUGAUGCAGCCAUGCCGCGUGUAUGAAGAAGGCCUUCGGGUUGUAAAGUACUUUCAGCAGUGAGGAAGGUGGGUAUGUUAAUAGCAUAUUCAUUUGACGUUAGCUGCAGAAGAAGCACCGGCUAACUCCGUGCCAGCAGCCGCGGUAAUACGGAGGGUGCGAGCGUUAAUCGGAAUUACUGGGCGUAAAGCGCAUGCAGGUGGUUUGUUAAGUCAGAUGUGAAAGCCCGGGGCUCAACCUCGGAAUUGCAUUUGAAACUGGCAAACUAGAGUACUGUAGAGGGGGGUAGAAUUUCAGGUGUAGCGGUGAAAUGCGUAGAGAUCUGAAGGAAUACCGGUGGCGAAGGCGGCCCCCUGGACAGAUACUGACACUCAGAUGCGAAAGCGUGGGGAGCAAACAGGAUUAGAUACCCUGGUAG